rnacentral:rRNA from 1 species
UUGUACACACCGCCCGUCGCUACUACCGAUUGAAUGGCUCAGUGAGGCCUUCGGACUGGCUCGAGGAGGUUGGCAACGACCACCUCAAGCCGGAAAGUUCGUCAAACUCGGUCAUUUAGAGGAAGUAAAAGUCGUAACAAGGUCUCCGUAGGUGAACCUGCGGAGGGAUCAUUA